CAUCUGACACAUCUGGACCUGAGCUACAACGAACUGUCUGAUUCAUCAGUGAAGCUGCUGUCUGCUGGACUGGAGAGUCCAGACUGGGGACUGGAGACUCUGAGGUUCACUGAUUCUAAAGGUUCAUUUGUCACACUGACUGGAAACCAGAAGAAGAGAGUUUGUGUGGAGGAAGAGCAGAAAUCAGAGUCUCCAGUAUCCACCUGUGUGUCUGAACAUCAUCCUCCAGACGUCACUCAUGAAGCUGGAUCCUCAGACUUAAAGGUGGAGGACAGACAGGACAGCGCUACACCUGCCACACAUGAAGGACGUGA